UCUGGAUAAACUUGUAUCCAUCCAAGAGAAUGGGGCAAGUCACUUUACGGAAUUAAAUUGAGUAACACAUUUCAGGAUUGAUAAAGACUUACAUAUAAGUGUAAACGACCCAAGUUUGCACUUGGAGUGAAAUUCUGAAAUGCUAGGAUAACCGUGUGUCCUUUAACAUAUUUUAUGUUAUAAAAAUAAUCUUGAAUAGCUUUAACUAGCUUCUCGAGUUACGAUUAA
ncrna:unclassified sequences IS605-orfB-I RNA